AAGGGAAAGGCAGAAGGCCCUGUUCAGAGGAAGGAAAUUUACUUCAGAGCAGGUACAUUUUUAAAAGCAAGGAAAUACAAGAAACUGAAAUGGUUAUGGUUGGAAGGAAAAGCUAUUACAAAAAUGUGAAUGGUUUAUAAGAGAAAGAAAGGAAGAACCCUGUGGUUCUUAAAAAAAAAAGAAAGAAAAAACCCCCCCGCUAUUCAAAAAAACCAAACCCCCACCCACUCACCAUGACCACUCCCCAAAAGCAAAACAAUCCAAGCAACCCAGCAGCUAAACUCAGGGCAAUAUCAAAAUUAUCAAAGCAAAUGAAGGACUCGUUAUAAAAGGAAUCCUCCAGCAGUAAUUGUAAUCUCUGUGUUAGCUUUCAGCAUCCCCUUUCUGUUCUGAAGAGCACCUUUGAAUGUUUCUGUUUGCGCUAACUUUAUUGCUCCAUUAUGGUUGCCAUUAAGUGUUGUUGUAUUUGCCUACAGAAGCUGAGCAGCAGGAAGGGAGUUGCUGUUGAGGAAGGCAGACCCCGGUGACUACAAUUGCUUGAAAAACAGACUUACCAGCAGGAGGAAGAGGAGAAGGAAGAGGAGCACGAGCUGGAGGUGCACGAAGAGCUUGGGAGGGAAUAGGAAUACAAAUAUACUCCGGUCAGAGACAGCAAAAUUACUUCAGAAGAGAAGCUGUGCAGCAUGAAGGUGGAUGCUGUCUCUGAACCCAUAUCCAAGUGAGUAUAAUUUCUUGAAAAGCAGACUUACCAUCAGGAGGAGGACCACGAGGCGUACUGGCUCCUUGGGGUUGAAAGGGAAAGGCAGAAGGCCCUGUUCAGAGGAAGGAAAUUUACUUCAGAGCAGGUACAUUUUUAAAAGCAAGGAAAUACAAGAAACUGAAAUGGUUAUGGUUGGAAGGAAAAGCUAUUACAAAAAUGUGAAUGGUUUAUAAGAGAAAGAAAGGAAGAACCCUUUGGUUCUUAAAAAAAAAGAAAGAAAAAACCCCCCCGCUAUUCAAAAAAAACCAAACCCCCACCCACUCACCAUGACCACACCCCAAAAGCAAAACAAUCCAAGCAACCCAGCAGCUAAACUCAGGGCAAUAUCAAAAUUAUCAAAGCAAAUGAAGGACUCGUUAUAAAAGGAAUCCUCCAGCAGUAAUUUUAAUCUCUGUGUUAGCUUUCAGCAUCCCCUUUCUGUUCUGAAGAGCACCUUCGAAUGUUUCUGUUUGCGCUAACUUUAUUGCUCCAUUAUGGUUGCCAUUAAGUGUUGUUGUAUUUGCCUACAGAAGCUGAGCAGCAGGAAGGGAGUUACUGUUGAGGAAGGCAGACCCCGGUGACUACAAUUGCUUGAAAAACAGACUUACCAGCAGGAGGAAGAGGAGAAGGAAGAGGAGCACGAGCUGGAGGUGCACGAAGAGCUUGGGAAGGAAUAGGAAUACAAAUAUACUCCGGUCAGAGACAACAAAAUUACUUCAGAAGAGAAGCUGUGCAGCAUGAAGGUGGAUGCUGUCUCUGAACCCAUAUCCAAGUGAGUAUAAUUUCUUGAAAAGCAGACUUACCAUCAGGAGGAGGACCACGAGGCGUACUGGCUCCUUGGGGUUGAAAGAGAAAGGCAGAAGGCCCUGUUCAGAGGAAGGAAAUUUACUUCAGAGCAGGUACAUUUUUAAAAGCAAGGAAAUACAAGAAACUGAAAUGGUUAUGGUUGGAAGGAAAAGCUAUUACAAAAAUGUGAAUGGUUUAUAAGAGAAAGAAAGGAAGAACCCUUUGGUUCUUAAAAAAAAAGAAAGAAAAAAACCCCCCCGCUAUUCAAAAAAAACCAAACCCCCACCCACUCACCAUGACCACUCCCCAAAAGCAAAACAAUCCAAGCAAGCCAGCAGCUAAACUCAGGGCAAUAUCAAAAUUAUCAAAGCAAAUGAAGGACUCGUUAUAAAAGGAAUCCUCCAGCAGUAAUUGUAAUCUCUGUGUUAGCUUUCAGCAUCCCCUUUCUGUUCUGAAGAGCACCUUCGAAUGUUUCUGUUUGCGCUAACUUUAUUGCUCCAUUAUGGUUGCCAUUAAGUCUUGUUGUAUUUGCCUACAGAAGCUGAGCAGCAGGAAGGGAGUUGCUGUUGAGGAAGGCAGACCCCGGUGACUACAAUUGCUUGAAAAACAGACUUACCAGCAGGAGGAAGAGGAGAAGGAAGAGGAGCACGAGCUGGAGGUGCACGAAGAGCUUGGGAGGGAAUAGGAAUACAAAUAUACUCCGGUCAGAGACAGCAAAAUUACUUCAGAAGAGAAGCUGUGCAGCAUGAAGGUGGAUGCUGUCUCUGAACCCAUAUCCAAGUGAGUAUAAUUUCUUGAAAAGCAGACUUACCAUCAGGAGGAGGACCACGAGGCGUACUGGCUCCUUGGGGUUGAAAGGGAAAGGCAGAAGGCCCUGUUCAGAGGAAGGAAAUUUACUUCAGAGCAGGUACAUUUUUAAAAGCAAGGAAAUACAAGAAACUGAAAUGGUUAUGGUUGGAAGGAAAAGCUAUUACAAAAAUGUGAAUGGUUUAUAAGAGAAAGAAAGGAAGAACCCUUUGGUUCUUAAAAAAAAAGAAAGAAAAAACCCCCCCGCUAUUCAAAAAAAACCAAACCCCCACCCACUCACCAUGACCACACCCCAAAAGCAAAACAAUCCAAGCAACCCAGCAGCUAAACUCAGGGCAAUAUCAAAAUUAUCAAAGCAAAUGAAGGACUCGUUAUAAAAGGAAUCCUCCAGCAGUAAUUUUAAUCUCUGUGUUAGCUUUCAGCAUCCCCUUUCUGUUCUGAAGAGCACCUUCGAAUGUUUCUGUUUGCGCUAACUUUAUUGCUCCAUUAUGGUUGCCAUUAAGUGUUGUUGUAUUUGCCUACAGAAGCUGAGCAGCAGGAAGGGAGUUACUGUUGAGGAAGGCAGACCCCGGUGACUACAAUUGCUUGAAAAACAGACUUACCAGCAGGAGGAAGAGGAGAAGGAAGAGGAGCACGAGCUGGAGGUGCACGAAGAGCUUGGGAAGGAAUAGGAAUACAAAUAUACUCCGGUCAGAGACAACAAAAUUACUUCAGAAGAGAAGCUGUGCAGCAUGAAGGUGGAUGCUGUCUCUGAACCCAUAUCCAAGUGAGUAUAAUUUCUUGAAAAGCAGACUUACCAUCAGGAGGAGGACCACGAGGCGUACUGGCUCCUUGGGGUUGAAAGAGAAAGGCAGAAGGCCCUGUUCAGAGGAAGGAAAUUUACUUCAGAGCAGGUACAUUUUUAAAAGCAAGGAAAUACAAGAAACUGAAAUGGUUAUGGUUGGAAGGAAAAGCUAUUACAAAAAUGUGAAUGGUUUAUAAGAGAAAGAAAGGAAGAACCCUUUGGUUCUUAAAAAAAAAGAAAGAAAAAAACCCCCCCGCUAUUCAAAAAAAACCAAACCCCCACCCACUCACCAUGACCACUCCCCAAAAGCAAAACAAUCCAAGCAAGCCAGCAGCUAAACUCAGGGCAAUAUCAAAAUUAUCAAAGCAAAUGAAGGACUCGUUAUAAAAGGAAUCCUCCAGCAGUAAUUGUAAUCUCUGUGUUAGCUUUCAGCAUCCCCUUUCUGUUCUGAAGAGCACCUUCGAAUGUUUCUGUUUGCGCUAACUUUAUUGCUCCAUUAUGGUUGCCAUUAAGUCUUGUUGUAUUUGCCUACAGAAGCUGAGCAGCAGGAAGGGAGUUGCUGUUGAGGAAGGCAGACCCCGGUGACUACAAUUGCUUGAAAAACAGACUUACCAGCAGGAGGAAGAGGAGAAGGAAGAGGAGCACGAGCUGGAGGUGCACGAAGAGCUUGGGAGGGAAUAGGAAUACAAAUAUACUCCGGUCAGAGACAGCAAAAUUACUUCAGAAGAGAAGCUGUGCAGCAUGAAGGUGGAUGCUGUCUCUGAACCCAUAUCCAAGUGAGUAUAAUUUCUUGAAAAGCAGACUUACCAUCAGGAGGAGGACCACGAGGCGUACUGGCUCCUUGGGGUUGAAAGAGAAAGGCAGAAGGCCCUGUUCAGAGGAAGGAAAUUUACUUCAGAGCAGGUACAUUUUUAAAAGCAAGGAAAUACAAGAAACUGAAAUGGUUAUGGUUGGAAGGAAAAGCUAUUACAAAAAUGUGAAUGGUUUAUAAGAGAAAGAAAGGAAGAACCCUUUGGUUCUUAAAAAAAAAGAAAGAAAAAAACCCCCCCGCUAUUCAAAAAAAAACAAACCCCCACCCACUCACCACGACCACUCCCCAAAAGCAAAACAAUCCAAGCAACCCAGCAGCUAAACUCAGGGCAAUAUCAAAAUUAUCAAAGCAAAUGAAGGACUCGUUAUAAAAGGAAUCCUCCAGCAGUAAUUUUAAUCUCUGUGUUAGCUUUCAGCAUCCCCUUUCUGUUCUGAAGAGCACCUUCGAAUGUUUCUGUUUGCGCUAACUUUAUUGCUCCAUUAUGGUUCCCAUUAAGUGUUGUUGUAUUUGCCUACAGAAGCUGAGCAGCAGGAAGGGAGUUGCUGUUGAGGAAGGCAGACCCCGGUGACUACAAUUGCUUGAAAAACAGACUUACCAGCAGGAGGAAGAGGAGAAGGAAGAGGAGCACGAGCUGGAGGUGCACGAAGAGCUUGGGAGGGAAUAGGAAUACAAAUAUACUCCGGUCAGAGACAGCAAAAUUACUUCAGAAGAGAAGCUGUGCAGCAUGAAGGUGGAUGCUGUCUCUGAACCCAUAUCCAAGUGAGUAUAAUUUCUUGAAAAGCAGACUUACCAUCAGGAGGAGGACCACGAGGCGUACUGGCUCCUUGGGGUUGAAAGAGAAAGGCAGAAGGCCCUGUUCAGAGGAAGGAAAUUUACUUCAGAGCAGGUACAUUUUUAAAAGCAAGGAAAUACAGGAAACUGAAAUGGUUAUGGUUGGAAGGAAAAGCUAUUACAAAAAUGUGAAUGGUUUAUAAGAGAAAGAAAGGAAGAACCCUUUGGUUCUUAAAAAAAAAAGAAAGAAAAAAACCCCCCGCUAUUCAAAAAAAACCAAACCCCCACCCACUCACCACGACCACUCCCCAAAAGCAAAACAAUCCAAGCAACCCAGCAGCUAAACUCAGGGCAAUAUCAAAAUUAUCAAAGCAAAUGAAGGACUCGUUAUAAAAGGAAUCCUCCAGCAGUAAUUUUAAUCUCUGUGUUAGCUUUCAGCAUCCCCUUUCUGUUCUGAAGAGCACCUUCGAAUGUUUCUGUUUGCGCUAACUUUAUUGCUCCAUUAUGGUUCCCAUUAAGUGUUGUUGUAUUUGCCUACAGAAGCUGAGCAGCAGGAAGGGAGUUGCUGUUGAGGAAGGCAGACCCCGGUGACUACAAUUGCUUGAAAAACAGACUUACCAGCAGGAGGAAGAGGAGAAGGAAGAGGAGCACGAGCUGGAGGUGCACGAAGAGCUUGGGAGGGAAUAGGAAUACAAAUAUACUCCGGUCAGAGACAGCAAAAUUACUUCAGAAGAGGUAAAUGUUUAAAAGCAAGGAAAUGCACAGAACUGAAAUGUUGCAAGACAUGGCGGUUUCUAAAUGUUGGCAGUAGUGUUAUUGCUCCGUUGUGUUUACAAUGAAGACUGGUUGUAUUUGUCUGCAGAAGCUGUGCAGCAUGAAGGGUGAUGCUGGCUCUGAAGCCACAUCCAAAUGACUAUAAUUUCUUGACAAGCAGACUUACCAUCACCAGCAGGAAUAGGACCACGAGGUGAAAUGGGUCCUUGGGGAUGCCGGAAGGAAUCUGUUGAGAGACAGUAAAUUAACUUCAGAGAUGGUAAAUUUUAAAUACCAAGGAGACGCAUGAAAAGGAAAUGGUUAUGGUUGGAAGGAAAGGCAAUGUUGGUUCGAGAGAGAGGAAAGGUUCUGUAGGAUGACCCACCGGCGGAUAGGUCGCUUCCAGACACAGUGUAGGUUCUGUUGGGUGACAUGCUGAAGUAGCCUGAGUCACUUCCAGAGGAAGGAUAGCUUAUGCUGGAUGGCAUACUGGAGCCUGAGUCACUUCCAGACACAGUAUAGGUUCUGUUGGGUGACAUGCUGAAAUAGCCUGAGUCACUUCCAGAGGAAGAAUAGCUUAUGCUGGAUGGCAUACUGGAGCCUGAGUCAGACACAGUAUAGGUUCUGUUGGGUGACAUACUGGAGUAGCCUGAGACACUU